UUUAUGGAGAGUUUGAUCCUGGCUCAGGAUGAACGCUGGCGGCGUGCCUAAUACAUGCAAGUCGAGCGAACGGACGAGAAGCUUGCUUCUCUGAUGUUAGCGGCGGACGGGUGAGUAACACGUGGAUAACCUACCUAUAAGACUGGGAUAACUUCGGGAAACCGGAGCUAAUACCGGAUAAUAUUUUGAACCGCAUGGUUCAAAAGUGAAAGACGGUCUUGCUGUCACUUAUAGAUGGAUCCGCGCUGCAUUAGCUAGUUGGUAAGGUAACGGCUUACCAAGGCAACGAUGCAUAGCCGACCUGAGAGGGUGAUCGGCCACACUGGAACUGAGACACGGUCCAGACUCCUACGGGAGGCAGCAGUAGGGAAUCUUCCGCAAUGGGCGAAAGCCUGACGGAGCAACGCCGCGUGAGUGAUGAAGGUCUUCGGA
rnacentral:rRNA from 1 species